rnacentral:misc_RNA from 1 species
GAUGAAGAACGUAGCGAAAUGCGAUAAGUAAUGCGAAUUGCAGAAUUCAGUGAGUCAUCGAAUCUUUGAACGCACAUUGCGCCCUGUGGUAUUCCGCAGGGCAUGCCCGUUCGAGCGUCAUUUCAACCCUCAAGCCCCGCUUGGUGUUGGGCCCCGCCCGCUGUGGCCGGCCCUAAAGACAGUGGCGGCGCCGCCUGGCCCUCAGCGUAGUACAUCUCUCGCUCCAGGGUCCGGUGGCCGCCUGCCAGAACCCCCCAACUCUGUGGUUGACCUCGGAUCAGGUAGGGAUACCCGCUGAACUUAAGCAUAUCAAUAAGCGGAGGA